rnacentral:rRNA from 1 species
GACGAACGCUGGCGGCGUGCUUAACACAUGCAAGUCGAACGGUAAGGCUCCAGCUUGCUGGGGUACACUAGUGGCGAACGGGUGAGUAACACGUGGGUGACCUGCCCUGCACUUCGGGAUAAGCCUGGGAAACUGGGUCUAAUACCGGAUAGGACCAUGGUGUGGAUACUGUGGUGGAACGUUUUUUCGGUGUGGGAUGGGCCCGCGGCCUAUCAGCUUGUUGGUGGGGUAAUGGCCUACCAAGGCGGCGACGGGUAGCCGGCCUGAGAGGGUGGACGGCCACAUUGGGACUGAGACACGGCCCAGACUCCUACGGGAGGCAGCAGUGGGGAAUAUUGCACAAUGGGCGGAAGCCUGAUGCAGCGACGCCGCGUGGGGGAUGACGGCCUUCGGGUUGUAAACUCCUUUCACCAUCGACGAAGGGUUUCUGACGGUAGAUGGAGAAGAAGCACCGGCUAACUACGUG